AUUGAACGCUGGCGGCAGGCCUAACACAUGCAAGUCGAACGAGUGGCGGACGGGUGAGUAAUGUCUGGGAAACUGCCCGAUGGAGGGGGAUAACUACUGGAAACGGUAGCUAAUACCGCAUACCAUCGGAUGUGCCCAGAUGGGAUUAGCUAGUAGGUGGGGUAACGGCUCACCUAGGCGACGAUCCCUAGCUGGUCUGAGAGGAUGACCAGCCAAAUGGGAACUGGGACACGGUCCGGACUCCUACGGGGGGCAGCAGUGGGGAAUAGUGCACAAUGGGCGCAAGCCUGAUGCGACCAUGCGGGGUGGAUGAAGAGGGCCUUGGGGUUGUAAAGUACUUUCAGCGAGGAGGCGUUACUCGCAGAAGAAGCACCGGCUAACUCCGUGCCAGCAGCCGCGGUAAUAC
rnacentral:rRNA from 1 species